AGGGAGGGGAGGGGAGGGGUGAGGAGGGGGAGUGGAGCGGGGCGCAGCACCGCCGCACGGCGGGCGCGGUGAGAGCCCGGGCCGGUCGGGAGACAGGAAAGAGCCCGGUUUUCUCUCCCCGAAGUGAGGAUGAGGAGGGGAGGGAGGGAAAGAGGAAGCGUGGGAGGGGGACUGGAGCGCCCUGGAUGGGGCCACAAAGGAGGAAAGCCAGCCAGAGGAGGAGGGGAGAGAAAGCCCGGACCAGCUCCACCUGGGGAACCCCGCGCCGUUGCAGGCACUUUUCUGAACGCACCAAACUCCCAACCCGGAAAGCGAGAGCUGGAAAAAGAGGAGGAGGGAAGGGGAAAAAAAAAAACCUCCACGAACCUGGGAAAAGCAGGAGGCCGCCGCCUACCUGUGGCUCCCCGAACUGGAGCCUCACCCUUCCCGGCCAGCCAAGGUAGCUGCUCCCGGCCCGGCCCCGAGGCCCUCGGUCCAGCGGGACUCCCCAGGGAGAAGCCAGCCCGCCCGGCCUCCUCUGCUCGGCCAAAGGGGCCAAGCAAGAGAGGGGGCACGUCUCGCCUCAGCCCUUACCCCCGCCGUGCUGCGGGCCAGGCCAGAGGUGCUGCUCCAAGGCCCAGGGGGAUACUAAGCCAAGGCAGGCACCAUUGGCCAGAAGGUGACAUCCCCACUGCUGUCCCUGCUGUCUGACAGGACACUGACCUUGGGGGAGCCAUCCCUGUCCUUGGGUUGAAGCUGUUUGCCUGGGUAGGCUUGGAAAACCCAACCAAAACGGAUACACAAAAACAACAACAGUGUAACUUGUAGGAAUGAAGGAG
rnacentral:lncRNA from 1 species